rnacentral:rRNA from 1 species
GAUGAACGCUGGCGGCGUGCCUAAUACAUGCAAGUCGAGCGAACGGACGAGAAGCUUGCUUCUCUGAUGUUAGCGGCGGACGGGUGAGUAACACGUGGACAACCUACAUAUAAGACUGGGAUAACUUCGGGAAACCGGAGCUAUUACCGGACGAUCUUUUGAACCGCAAGGUUCAAAAGUGAAAGACGGUCUUGCUGUCACUUAUAGAUGGAUCCGCGCUGCAUUAGCUAGUUGGUAAGGUAACGGCUUACCAAGGCAACGAUGCAUAGCCGAACUGAGAGGGUGAUCGGCCACACUGGAACUGAGACACGGUCCAGACUCCUACGGGAGGCAGCAGUAGGGAAUCUUCCGCAAUGGGCGAAAGCCUGACGGAGCAACGCCGCGUGAGUGAUGAAGGUCUUCGGAUCGUAAAACUCUGUUAUUAGGGAAGAACAUAUGUGUAAGUAACUGUGCACAUCUUGACGGUACCUAAUCAGAAAGCCACGGCUAACUACGUG